rnacentral:misc_RNA from 1 species
CCAACUGCGAUAAGUAGUGUGAAUUGCAGAACUCAGCGAAUCAUCAAACUCUUGAACGCAUGUUGCGCCCCCGGGUUGACUGGGGGCACACUUGCUUGAGCCUCGGCUUUCAACCUCACCCCCUAAACAAGGGUGGACAUGGGUGACCGGCCACAGCCUGCCACCUGAAAAGCAUCCUCCCCUGUGCGUACCGGCAAGCCGGUGGUGCCUGGGUAACCUAGCGUGAUAGGUCUUCGGACACUUCGCCUGGCCCCACAAGUACCUCGGCCCUGGACCGUGUCAAGGGACCAGGCCCUAGCGGCCCCAAUCAAAACAUCGAGCUCAAGUCAAGUGGGAAGACCCGCCGAAGUUAAGC